rnacentral:tRNA from 1 species
GCGCCGCUAGUGUAGUGGUAUCACGCAAGACUUCCAUUCCUGCGACCCUGCUUCGAUCCCCGGGCGGCGCA